AUUGAACGCUGGCGGCAGGCCUAACACAUGCAAGUCGAGCGGAUGAAGGGAGCUUGCUCCUGGAUUCAGCGGCGUACGGGUGAGUAAUGCCUAGGAAUCUGCCUGGUAGUGGGGGAUAACGUCCGGAAACGGGCGCUAAUACCGCAUACGUCCUGAGGGAGAAAGUGGGGGAUCUUCGGACCUCACGCUAUCAGAUGAGCCUAGGUCGGAUUAGCUAGUUGGUGGGGUAAAGGCCUACCAAGGCGACGAUCCGUAACUGGUCUGAGAGGAUGAUCAGUCACACUGGAACUGAGACACGGUCCAGACUCCUACGGGAGGCAGCAGUGGGGAAUAUUGGACAAUGGGCGAAAGCCUGAUCCAGCCAUGCCGCGUGUGUGAAGAAGGUCUUCGGAUUGUAAAGCACUUUAAGUUGGGAGGAAGGGCAGUAAGUUAAUACCUUGCUGUUUUGACGUUACCAACAGAAUAAGCACCGGCUAACUUCGUG
rnacentral:rRNA from 1 species